rnacentral:rRNA from 1 species
GACGAACCGAGCAAACGUUAUUCGGAAUCACUGGGCUUAAAGGGCGCGUAGGCGGGCAUCCAAGUCCGUGGUGAAAUCCGGCAGCUUAACUGUCGAACUGCCGCGGAUACUGGGUGUCUCGAGGGAGGUAGGGGCGCGCGGAACUAUUGGUGGAGCGGUGAAAUGCGUUGAUAUCAAUAGGAACUCCGGUGGCGAAGGCGGCGUGCUGGACCCCUUCUGACGCUGAGGCGCGAAAGCCAGGGGAGCGAACGGG